rnacentral:misc_RNA from 1 species
AAGUCGUAACAAGGUUUCCGUAGGUGAACCUGCGGAAGGAUCAUUAACACGUUGCAAACGUUUAAUAAUCAACUUUCAACUCCGCGCACGUUGUUAAAAUAUUUAUACGGAUCUUUGGUUCGAACCAAGGAAAUACCCUGUGUUGGUCUUGCUUGUGAUGGGUGAGUCAUCAGGGUUGACGAAAAGGACUUGGUUCUGGAUCUACUAUGGUCCGUCAUCAUAUUUGUUUUUUAACCCCUUGAAUCUUAUCAGUCUGAAACUUUUUUUUUCUGUUCGCAAGGACGAAAAAAAAAACAAACGAAACAAAGAACAACUCUUAGCAACGGAUAUCUUGGUUCUC